AUGUCAGUUCUCCUCUCCUCCUUCAUCAGUGGUGUUGGUUUUCCUCUUCAUCAGUGGUGUUGGUUCUCCUCUCCUCCUCCAUCAGUGGUGUUGGUUCUCCUCUCCUCCUUCAUCAGUGGUGUUGGUUUUCCUCUCCUCCAUCAGUGGUGUUGGUUCUCCUCUCCUCCAUCAGUGGUGUUGGUUCUCCUCUCCCCCAUCAGUGGUGUUGGUUCUCCUCUCCUCCUCCAUCAGUGGUGUUGGUUCUCCUCUCCUCCUUCAUCAGUGGUGUUGGUUCUCCUCUCCUUCAUCAGUGGUGUUGGUUCUCCUCUCCUCCAUCAGUGGUGUUGGUUCUCCUCUCCUCCAUCAGUGGUGUUGGUUCUCCUCUCCUCCAUCAGUGGUGUUGGUUCUCCUCUCCUCCUCCAUCAGUGGUGUUGGUUCUCCUCUCCUCCAUCAGUGGUGUUGGUUCUCCUCUCCUCCUCCAUCAGUGGUGUUGGUUCUCCUCUCCUUCAUCAGUGGUGUUGGUUCUCCUCUCCUCCUUCAUCAGUGGUGUUGGUUCUCCUCUCCUCCUCCAUCAGUGGUGUUGGUUUUCCUCUCCUCCUUCAUCAGUGUUGCUGGUUCUCCUCUCCUCCUUCAUCAGUGGUGUUGGUUCUCCUCUCCUCCUUCAUCAGUGUUGUUGGUUUUCAUCUCCUCCUUCAUCAGUGGUGUUGGUUCUCCUCUCCUCCUUCAUCAGUGGUGUUGGUUCUCCUCUCCUCCUUCAUCAGUGGUGUUGGUUCUCCUCUCCUCCAUCAGUGGUGUUGGUUCUCCUCUCCUCCAUCAGUGGUGUUGGUUCUCCUCUCCUCCAUCAGUGGUGUUGGUUCUCCUCUCCUCCUUCAUCAGUGGUGUUGGUUCUCCUCUCCUCCAUCAGUGGUGUUGGUUCUCCUCUCCUCCUUCAUCAGUGGUGUUGGUUCUCCUCUCCUCCAUCAGUGGUGUUGGUUCUCCUCUCCUCCUUCAUCAGUGGUGUUGGUUCUCCUCUCCUCCUUCAUCAGUGGUGUUGGUUCUCCUCCCCUCCUUCAUCAGUGGUGUUGGUUUUCCUCCCCUCCAUCAGUGGUGUUGGUUCUCCUCUCCUCCAUCAGUGGUGUUGGUUCUCCUCUCCUCCAUCAGUGGUGUUGGUUCUCCUCUCCUCCUCCAUCAGUGGUGUUGGUUCUCCUCUCCUCCUUCAUCAGUGGUGUUGGUUCUCCUCUCCUCCAUCAGUGGUGUUGGUUCUCCUCUCCUCCAUCAGUGGUGUUGGUUCUCCUCUCCUCCAUCAGUGGUGUUGGUUCUCCUCUCCUCCAUCAGUGGUGUUGUUCUCCUCUCCUCCUCCAUCAGUGGUGUUGGUUCUCCUCCCCUCCUUCAUCAGUGGUGUUGGUUUUCCUCUCCUCCAUCAGUGGUGUUGGUUCUCCUCCCCUCCUUCAUCAGUGGUGUUGGUUCUCCUCUCCUCCUUCAUCAGUGGUGUUGGUUCUCCUCUCCUUCAUCAGUGGUGUUGGUUCUCCUCUCCUCCUUCAUCAGUGGUGUUGGUUCUCCUCUCCUUCAUCAGUGGUGUUGGUUUUCCUCUCCUCCAUCAGUGGUGUUGGUUCUCCUCCCCUCCUUCAUCAGUGGUGUUGGUUCUCCUCUCCUUCAUCAGUGGUGUUGGUUCUCCUCUCCUCCUCCAUCAGUGGUGUUGGUUCUCCUCUCCUCCUCCAUCAGUGGUGUUGGUUCUCCUCUCCUCCAUCAGUGGUGUUGGUUCUCCUCUCCUCCUCCAUCAGUGGUGUUGGUUCUCCUCUCCUCCUCCAUCAGUGGUGUUGGUUCUCCUCUCCUCCUCCAUCAGUGGUGUUGGUUCUCCUCUCCUCCAUCAGUGGUGUUGGUUCUCCUCUCCUCCUCCAUCAGUGGUGUUGUUCUCCUCUCCUCCUCCAUCAGUGGUGUUGGUUCUCCUCUCCUCCUUCAUCAGUGGUGUUGGUUCUCCUCUCCUUCAUCAGUGGUGUUGGUUCUUCUCUCCUCCAUCAGUGGUGUUGGUUCUCCUCUCCUCCAUCAGUGGUGUUGGUUCUCCUCUCCUCCAUCAGUGGUGUUGGUUCUCCUCUCCUUCAUCAGUGGUGUUGGUUCUCCUCCUCUCCUUCAUCAGUGGUGUUGGUUCUCCUCUCCUCCUUCAUCAGUGGUGUUGGUUCUCCUCUCCUCCAUCAGUGGUGUUGGUUCUCCUCUCCUCCUCCAUCAGUGGUGUUGGUUCUCCUCUCCUCCUUCAUCAGUGGUGUUGGUUCUCCUCUCCUCCAUCAGUGGUGUUGGUUCUCCUCUCCUCCAUCAGUGGUGUUGGUUCUCCUCUCCUCCUUCAUCAGUGGUGUUGGUUCUCCUCUCCUCCUUCAUCAGUGGUGUUGGUUCUCCUCUCCUCCUCCAUCAGUGGUGUUGGUUCUCCUCUCCUCCAUCAGUGGUGUUGGUUCUCCUCUCCUCCUCCAUCAGUGGUGUUGGUUUUCCUCUCCUCUCCUCCAUCAGUGGUGUUGGUUCUCCUCUCCUCCAUCAGUGGUGUUGGUUCUCCUCUCCUCCUCCAUCAGUGGUGUUGGUUCUCCUCUCCUCCUCCAUCAGUGGUGUUGGUUUUCCUCUCCUCCAUCAGUGGUGUUGUUCUCCUCUCCUCCAUCAGUGGUGUUGGUUCUCCUCUCCUCCAUCAGUGGUGUUGGUUCUCCUCUCCUCCAUCAGUGGUGUUGGUUCUCCUCUCCUCCAUCAGUGGUGUUGUUCUCCUCUCCUCCAUCAGUGGUGUUGGUUCUCCUCUCCUCCUCCAUCAGUGGUGUUGGUUUUCCUCUCCUCCCCUUCAUUAGUGGUGUUGGUUCUCCUCUCCUCCAUCAGUGGUGUUGGUUCUCCUCUCCUCCUCCAUCAGUGGUGUUGGUUCUCCUCUCCUCCUUCAUCAGUGGUGUUGGUUCUCCUCUCCUCCUCCAUCAGUGGUGUUGGUUCUCCUCUCCUCCUUCAUCAGUGGUGUUGGUUCUCCUCUCCUCCUUCAUCAGUGGUGUUGGUUCUCCUCUCCUUCAUCAGUGGUGUUGGUUCUCCUCUCCUCCUCCAUCAGUGGUGUUGGUUCUCCUCUCCUCCAUCAGUGGUGUUGUUCUCCUCUCCUCCAUCAGUGGUGUUGGUUCUCCUCUCCUCCUCCAUCAGUGGUGUUGUUCUCCUCUCCUCCAUCAGUGGUGUUGGUUCUCCUCUCCUUCUUCAUCAGUGGUGUUGGUUCUCCUCUCCUUCAUCAGUGGUGUUGGUUCUCCUCUCCUUCAUCAGUGGUGUUGGUUCUCCUCCCCUCCUCCAUCAGUGGUGUUGGUUCUCCUCUCCUCCUCCAUCAGUGGUGUUGGUUCUCCUCUCCUCCAUCAGUGGUGUUGGUUCUCCUCUCCUCCUCCAUCAGUGGUGUUGGUUCUCCUCUCCUCCAUCAGUGGUGUUGGUUCUCCUCUCCUCCUUCAUCAGUGGUGUUGGUUCUCCUCUCCUUCAUCAGUGGUGUUGGUUUUCCUCUCCUCCUCCAUCAGUGGUGUUGGUUCUCCUCUCCUCCUCCAUCAGUGGUGUUGGUUCUCCUCUCCUCCUCCAUCAGUGGUGUUGGUUCUCCUCUCCUCCAUCAGUGGUGUUGGUUCUCCUCUCCUCCUCCAUCAGUGGUGUUGUUCUCCUCUCCUCCUCCAUCAGUGGUGUUGGUUCUCCUCUCCUCCUUCAUCAGUGGUGUUGGUUCUCCUCUCCUUCAUCAGUGGUGUUGGUUCUCCUCUCCUCCAUCAGUGGUGUUGGUUCUCCUCUCCUCCAUCAGUGGUGUUGGUUCUCCUCUCCUCCAUCAGUGGUGUUGGUUCUCCUCUCCUUCAUCAGUGGUGUUGGUUCUCCUCCCCUCCUUCAUCAGUGGUGUUGGUUCUCCUCUCCUCCUUCAUCAGUGGUGUUGGUUCUCCUCUCCUCCAUCAGUGGUGUUGGUUCUCCUCUCCUCCUUCAUCAGUGGUGUUGGUUCUCCUCUCCUCCUUCAUCAGUGGUGUUGGUUCUCCUCUCCUCCAUCAGUGGUGUUGGUUCUCCUCUCCUCCAUCAGUGGUGUUGGUUCUCCUCUCCUCCAUCAGUGGUGUUGGUUUUCCUCUCCUCCAUCAGUGGUGUUGGUUCUCCUCUCCUCCUUCAUCAUUGGUGUUGGUUCUCCUCUCCUCCUUCAUCAGUGGUGUUGGUUCUCCUCUCCUCCUCCAUCAGUGGUGUUGGUUCUCCUCUCCUCCUUCAUCAGUGGUGUUGGUUCUCCUCUCCUCCUCCAUCAGUGGUGUUGGUUCUCCUCUCCUUCAUCAGUGGUGUUGGUUCUCCUCUCCUCCAUCAGUGGUGUUGUUCUCCUCUCCUUCAUCAGUGGUGUUGGUUCUCCUCUCCUCCUUCAUCAGUGGUGUUGGUUCUCCUCUCCUCCUCCAUCAGUGGUGUUGGUUUUCCUCUCCUCCUUCAUCAGUGUUGCUGGUUCUCCUCUCCUCCUUCAUCAGUGGUGUUGGUUCUCCUCUCCUCCUUCAUCAGUGUUGUUGGUUUUCCUCUCCUCCUUCAUCAGUGGUGUUGGUUCUCCUCUCCUCCUUCAUCAGUGGUGUUGGUUCUCCUCUCCUCCUUCAUCAGUGGUGUUGGUUCUCCUCUCCUCCAUCAGUGGUGUUGGUUCUCCUCUCCUCCAUCAGUGGUGUUGGUUCUCCUCUCCUCCAUCAGUGGUGCUGGUUCUCCUCUCCUCCUUCAUCAGUGGUGUUGGUUCUCCUCUCCUCCAUCAGUGGUGUUGGUUCUCCUCUCCUCCUUCAUCAGUGGUGUUGGUUCACCUCUCCUCCAUCAGUGGUGUUGGUUCUCCUCUCCUCCUUCAUCAGUGGUGUUGGUUCUCCUCUCCUCCUUCAUCAGUGGGGUUGGUUCUCCUCCCCUCCUUCAUCAGUGGUGUUGGUUUUCCUCCCCUCCAUCAGUGGUGUUGGUUCUCCUCUCCUCCAUCAGUGGUGUUGGUUCUCCUCCCCUCCUUCAUCAGUGGUGUUGGUUCUCCUCUCCUCCAUCAGUGGUGUUGGUUCUCCUCUCCUCCUUCAUCAGUGGUGUUGGUUCUCCUCCCCUCCUUCAUCAGUGGUGUUGGUUUUCCUCUCCUCCAUCAGUGGUGUUGGUUCUCCUCCCCUCCUUCAUCAGUGGUGUUGGUUCUCCUCUCCUCCUCCAUCAGUGGUGUUGGUUCUCCUCUCCUCCUCCAUCAGUGGUGUUGGUUCUCCUCUCCUCCAUCAGUGGUGUUGGUUCUCCUCUCCUCCUCCAUCAGUGGUGUUGGUUCUCCUCUCCUCCUCCAUCAGUGGUGUUGGUUCUCCUCUCCUCCUCCAUCAGUGGUGUUGGUUCUCCUCUCCUCCAUCAGUGGUGUUGGUUCUCCUCUCCUCCUCCAUCAGUGGUGUUGUUCUCCUCUCCUCCUCCAUCAGUGGUGUUGGUUCUCCUCUCCUCCUUCAUCAGUGGUGUUGGUUCUCCUCUCCUUCAUCAGUGGUGUUGGUUCUCCUCUCCUCCAACAGUGGUGUUGGUUCUCCUCUCCUCCAACAGUGGUGUUGGUUCUCCUCUCCUCCAUCAGUGGUGUUGGUUCUCCUCUCCUCCAUCAGUGGUGUUGGUUCUCCUCUCCUUCAUCAGUGGUGUUGGUUCUCCUCCCCUCCUUCAUCAGUGGUGUUGGUUCUCCUCUCCUCCUUCAUCAGUGGUGUUGGUUCUCCUCUCCUCCAUCAGUGGUGUUGGUUCUCCUCUCCUCCUUCAUCAGUGGUGUUGGUUCUCCUCUCCUCCUUCAUCAGUGGUGUUGGUUCUCCUCUCCUCCUUCAUCAGUGGUGUUGGUUCUCCUCUCCUCCAUCAGUGGUGUUGGUUCUCCUCUCCUCCUCCAUCAGUGGUGUUGGUUCUCCUCUCCUCCUUCAUCAGUGGUGUUGGUUCUCCUCUCCUCCUUCAUCAGUGGUGUUGGUUCUCCUCUCCUCCUCCAUCAGUGGUGUUGGUUCUCCUCUCCUCCUUCAUCAGUGGUGUUGGUUUUCCUCUCCUCCAUCAGUGGUGUUGGUUCUCCUCUCCUCCAUCAGUGGUGUUGGUUCUCCUCUCCUCCUUCAUCAGUGGUGUUGGUUCUCCUCUCCUCCUUCAUCAGUGGUGUUGGUUCUCCUCUCCUCCUCCAUCAGUGGUGUUGGUUCUCCUCUCCUCCAUCAGUGGUGUUGGUUCUCCUCUCCUCCUCCAUCAGUGGUGUUGUUCUCCUCUCCUCCUCCAUCAGUGGUGUUGGUUCUCCUCUCCUCCUUCAUCAGUGGUGUUGGUUCUCCUCUCCUUCAUCAGUGGUGUUGGUUCUCCUCUCCUCCAUCAGUGGUGUUGGUUCUCCUCUCCUCCAUCAGUGGUGUUGGUUCUCCUCUCCUCCAUCAGUGGUGUUGGUUCUCCUCUCCUUCAUCAGUGGUGUUGGUUCUCCUCCCCUCCUUCAUCAGUGGUGUUGGUUCUCCUCUCCUCCUUCAUCAGUGGUGUUGGUUCUCCUCUCCUCCAUCAGUGGUGUUGGUUCUCCUCUCCUCCUUCAUCAGUGGUGUUGGUUCUCCUCUCCUCCUUCAUCAGUGGUGUUGGUUCUCCUCUCCUCCAUCAGUGGUGUUGGUUCUCCUCUCCUCCAUCAGUGGUGUUGGUUCUCCUCUCCUCCUCCAUCAGUGGUGUUGGUUCUCCUCUCCUCCUCCAUCAGUGGUGUUGUUCUCCUCUCCUCCAUCAGUGGUGUUGGUUCUCCUCUCCUCCUUCAUCAGUGGUGUUGGUUUUCCUCUCCUCCUUCAUCAGUGGUGUUGGUUCUCCUCUCCUCCUUCAUCAGUGGUGUUGGUUCUCCUCUCCUCCAUCAGUGGUGUUGGUUCUCCUCUCCUCCUUCAUCAGUGGUGUUGGUUCUCCUCUCCUCCAUCAGUGGUGUUGGUUCUCCUCUCCUCCUCCAUCAGUGGUGUUGGUUCUCCUCUCCUCCAUCAGUGGUGUUGGUUCUCCUCUCCUCCUUCAUCAGUGGUGUUGGUUCUCCUCUCCUCCUCCAUCAGUGGUGUUGGUUCUCCUCUCCUCCAUCAGUGGUGUUGGUUCUCCUCUCCUCCUUCAUCAGUGGUGUUGGUUCUCCUCUCCUCCAUCAGUUGUGCUGGUUCUCCUCUCCUCCUUCAUCAGUGGUGUUGGUGCUCCUCUCCUCCUUCAUCAAUGGUGUUGGUUCUCCUCUCCUCCAUCAGUGGUGUUGGUUCUCCUCUCCUCCUCCAUCAGUGGUGUUGGUUCUCCUCUCCUCCUUCAUCAGUUGUGCUGGUUCUCCUCUCCUCCAUCAGUGGUGUUGGUUUUCCUCUCCUCCUUCAUCAGUGGUGUUGGUUCUCCUCUCCUCCAUCAUCAGUUGUGCUGGUUCUCCUCUCCUCCUCCAUCAGUUGUGCUGGUUCUCCUCUCCUCCUCCAUCAGUGGUGUUGGUUCUCCUCUCCUCCAUCAGUGGUGUUGGUUCUCCUCUCCUCCAUCAGUGGUGUUGGUUCUCCUCUCCUCCUUCAUCAGUGGUGUUGGUUCUCCUCUCCUCCUCCAUCAGUUGUGCUGGUUCUCCUCUCCUCCUUCAUCAGUGGUGUUGGUUCUCCUCUCCUCCAUCAGUGGUGUUGGUUCUCCUCUCCUCCUCCAUCAGUUGUGCUGGUUCUCCUCUCCUCCUUCAUCAGUGGUGUUGGUUUUCCUCUCCUCCAUCAGUGGUGUUGGUUCUCCUCUCCUCCAUCAGUGGUGUUGGUUCUCCUCUCCUCCAUCAUCAGUUGUGCUGGUUCUCCUCUCCUCCUCCAUCAGUUGUGCUGGUUUUCCUCUCCUCCUCCAUCAGUUGUGCUGGUUCUCCUCUCCUCCAUCAGUGGUGUUGGUUCUCCUCUCCUCCAUCAGUGGUGUUGGUUCUCCUCUCCUUCAUCAGUGGUGUUGGUUCUCCUCUCCUCCUCCAUCAGUGGUGUUGGUUCUCCUCUCCUCCUCCAUCAGUGGUGUUGGUUCUCCUCUCCUCCAUCAGUGGUGUUGGUUCUCCUCUCCUCCAUCAGUGGUGUUGGUUCUCCUCCCCUCCUCCAUCAGUGGUGUUGGUUCUCCUCUCCUCCAUCAGUGGUGUUGGUUCUCCUCUCCUCCUCCAUCAGUGGUGUUGGUUCUCCUCUCCUCCAUCAGUGGUGUUGGUUCUCCUCUCCUCCUCCAUCAGUGGUGUUGGUUUUCCUAUCCUCCUCCAUCAGUGGUGUUGGUUCUCCUCUCCUUCAUCAGUGGUGUUGGUUCUCCUCUCCUUCAUCAGUGGUGUUGGUUCUCCUCUCCUCCAUCAGUGGUGUUGGUUCUCCUCUCCUCCUCCAUCAGUUGUGCUGGUUCUCCUCUCCUCCUCCAUCAGUUGUGCUGGUUCUCCUCUCCUCCUUCAUCAGUGGUGUUGGUUCUCCUCUCCUCCAUCAGUGGUGUUGGUUCUCCUCUCCUCCAUCAUCAGUUGUGCUGGUUCUCCUCUCCUCCUUCAUCAGUGGUGCUGGUUUUCCUCUCCUCCUCCAUCAGUUGUGCUGGUUCUCCUCUCCUCCUCCAUCAGUUGUGCUGGUUCUCCUCUCCUCCUUCAUCAGUGGUGUUGGUUCUCCUCUCCUCCAUCAGUGGUGUUGGUUCUCCUCUCCUCCUCCAUCAGUGGUGUUGGUUCUCCUCUCCUCCAUCAUCAGUUGUGCUGGUUCUCCUCUCCUCCUCCAUCAGUUGUGCUGGUUUUCCUCUCCUCCUCCAUCAGUUGUGUUGGUUCUCCUCUCCUCCAUGAUCAGUUGUGCUGGUUCUCCUCUCCUCCUCCAUCAGUUGUGCUGGUUCUCCUCUCCUCCUCCAUCAGUGGUGUUGUUCUCCUCUCCUCCAUCAGUGGUGUUGGUUCUCCUCUCCUCCAUCAGUGGUGUUGGUUCUCCUCUCCUUCAUCAGUGGUGUUGUUCUCCUCUCCUCCAUCAGUGGUGUUGGUUCUCCUCUCCUCCUCCAUCAGUGGUGUUGGUUCUCCUCUCCUUCUUCAUCAGUGGUGUUGGUUUUCCUCUCCUCCUUCAUCAGUGGUGUUGGUUUUCCUCUCCUCUUCAUCAGUGGUGUUGGUUUUCCUCUCCUCCAUCAGUGGUGUUGGUUCUCCUCUCCUCCUUCAUCAGUGGUGUUGGUUCUCCUCUCCUCCUUCAUCAGUGGUGUUGGUUCUCCUCUCCUCCUCCAUCAGUGGUGUUGGUUCUCCUCUCCUCCUCCAUCAGUGGUGUUGGUUCUCCUCUCCUCCUUCAUCAGUGGUGUUGGUUCUCCUCUCCUCCUCCAUCAGUGGUGUUGGUUCUCCUCUCCUCCAUCAGUGGUGUUGGUUCUCCUCUCCUCCUCCAUCAGUGGUGUUGGUUCUCCUCUCCUCCUCCAUCAGUGGUGUUGGUUCUCCUCUCCUCCAUCAGUGGUGUUGGUUCUCCUCUCCUCCUUCAUCAGUGGUGUUGGUUCUCCUCUCCUCCUCCAUCAGUGGUGUUGGUUCUCCUCUCCUCCAUCAGUGGUGUUGGUUCUCCUCUCCUCCUUCAUCAGUGGUGUUGGUUCUCCUCUCCUCCUCCAUCAGUGGUGUUGGUUCUCCUCUCCUCCUUCAUCAGUGGUGUUGGUUCUCCUCUCCUCCUUCAUCAGUGGUGUUGGUUCUCCUCUCCUCCAUCAGUGGUGUUGGUUCUCCUCUCCUCCAUCAGUGGUGUUGGUUCUCCUCUCCUCCUCCAUCAGUGGUGUUGGUUCUCCUCUCCUCCUUCAUCAGUGGUGUUGGUUCUCCUCUCCUUCAUCAGUUGUGCUGGUUCUCCUCUCCUCCAUCAUCAGUUGUGCUGGUUCUCCUCUCCUCCUCCAUCAGUUGUGCUGGUUUUCCUCUCCUCCUCCAUCAGUUGUGCUGGUUUCCUCCUUCAUCCGUGGUGCUGUUUCAACAUAGCAUUAGGAGAGUCCUGUGAACAUCAGUGAUGAACAGCACCAUCUUUCUAAUUGAUAAUUUUGACAAAUUAGCAUGAAAUGAAAUCUAUUGGAUGACAGCAUCACCCCCAUGAACUCUAUUAAAAAAAAUCUGUCAAACAUGUGGCCAUGAUGUGUAGAAGCUGUUAUUGACUAAAGGGAAUAUUUUAAUCAUGAAUACAUAGAAAACAUUGUUCCCAUGUACAAUAGAUUGAGGAGAUGUGUUAAUUAGGAAAAGUUUGGUGUAUUGUAUUGGGAUGAUAGUCAUGGAUAAUGACAGAUGGUAGUUAUCCUAGAGAAUAAUUAAAAUUGAAAUGUAAUCAGCUUCAGACCAGCUAAAUAUUCACACUGGGAAAAGGAGGAUGAACAACUCCGACACAACACUUAGUGUUCUUAUUACAAAUUCAUGACUAUUGGUCUCACAUUAAAUCAGGCUCCCUGAUCAACAGACACAAAGUGGUUUACAGAUACCCAGCCUAAAAACCCUAAAGAGCAAGCAAUGCAGAGGGCAGAAGCACAGCGACUAGCUGAGCUUGAUCAGCUAAGGGGGGGGGGGGGGCAUGCCAAGGUUAAAUCAAAUCAAGUCAUCAAAUUUGUCACAUACAGUGGGGCAAAAAAGUAUUUAGUCAGCCACCAAUUGUGCAAGUUCUCCCACUUAAAAAGUCAGUGGGGGCAUGCCAAGGUUAAAUCAAAUCAAGUCAUCAAAUUUGUCACAUACAGUGGGGCAAAAAAGUAUUUAGUCAGCCACCAAUUGUGCAAGUUCUCCCACUUAAAAAGAUGAGAGAGGCCUGUAAUUUUCAUCAUAGGUACACUUCAACUAUGACAGACAAAAUGAGAAAACAAAAUCCAGAAAAUCACAUUGUAGGAUUUUUGAUGAAUUUAUUUGCAAAUUAUGGUGGAAAAUAAGUAUUUGGUCAAUAACAAAAGUUUAUCUCAAUACUUUGUUAUAUACCCUUUGUUGGCAAUGACAGAGGUCAAACAUUUUCUGUAAGUCUUCACAAGGUUUUCACACACUGUUGCUCGUAUUUUGGCCCAUUCCUCCAUGCAGAUCUCCUCUAGAGCAGUGAUGUUUUGGGGCUGUUGCUGGGCAACACGGACUUUCAACUCCCUCCAAAGAUUUUCUAUGGGGUUGAGAUCUGGAGACUGGCUAGGCCACUCCAGGACCUUGAAAUGCUUCUUAUGAAGACACUCCUUCGUUGCCCGGGCGGUGUGUUUGGGAUCAUUGUCAUGCUGAAAGACCCAGCCACGUUUCAUCUUCAAUGCCCUUGCUGAUGGAAGGAGGUUUUCACUCAAAAUCUCACAAUACAUGGCCCCAUUCAUUCUUUCCUUUACACGGAUCAAUCGUCCUGGUCCCUUUGCAGAAAAACAGCCCCAAAGCAUGAUGUUUCCACCCCCAUGCUUCACAGUAGGUAUGGUGUUCUUUGGAUGCAACUCAGCAUUCUUUGUCCUCCAAACACGACGAGUUGAGUUUUUACCAAAAAGUUAUAUUUUGGUUUCAUCUGACCAUAUGACAUUCUCCCAAUCUUCUUCUGGAUCAUCCAAAUGCUCUCUAGCAAACUUCAGACGGGCCUGGACAUGUACUGGCUUAAGCAGGGGGACACGUCUGGCACUGCAGGAUUUGAGUCCCUGGCGGCGUAGUGUGUUCCUGAUGGUAGGCUUUGUUACUUUGGUCCCAGCUCUCUGCAGGUCAUUCACUAGGUCCCCCCGUGUGGUUCUGGGAUUUUUGCUCACCGUUCUUAUGAUCAUUUUGACCCCACGGGGUGAGAUCUUGCGUGGAGCCCCAGAUCGAGGGAGAUUAUCAGUGGUCUUGUAUGUCUUCCAUUUCCUAAUAAUUGCUCCCAGUAUAUUCAUAUGAGAUGAGUAAUGUAGGGUAUGUAAACAUUAUAUGAAGUGGCAUUGUUUAAAGUGGCUAGUGAUACAUUUAUUACAUCAAUUUUUCCAUUAUUAAAGUGGCUGGAGUUCAAUCAGUAUGUUUGCAGCAGCCACUCAAUGUUAGUGAUGGCAGUUUAACAGUCUGAUGGCCUUGAGAUAUAAGCUGUUUUUCAGUCUCUCUCGGUCCCUGCUUUGAUGCACCUGUACUGACCUCGCCUUCUGGAUGGUAGCGGGGUGAACAGGCAGUGGCUCGGGUGGUUGUCCUUCAUGAUCUUCAUGGCCUUCCUGUGACAUCGAGUGCUGUAGGUGUCAUGGAGGGCAGGUAGUUUGCCCCCGGUGAUGCGUUGUGCAGACCUCACUACCCUCUGGAGAGCCUUACGGUUGAUGGCUGUGAUACAGCCUGACAGGAUGCUCUCGAUUGUGCAUCUGUAAAAGUUUGUCAGGGUUUUGGUUGAAAAGCCACAUUUCUUCAGCCUCCUGAUGUUGAAGAGGCGCUGUUGCGCCUUCCUCGCCACGCUGUCUGUGUGGGUGGACCAUUUUCAGUUUGUCCGUGAUGUGUACGCCAAGGAACUUAAAACGUUUCACCUUCUCCACUGUUGUCCCGUCGAUGUGGAUGAGGGGGGUGCGCCCUCUGCUGUUUCCUUGAUAUUGGCGUGAACUGGAACACGCUGUUGUACAUGUCGCAAACAUGCUUAAUGGGUGACACGUCUUGUGAGAACGCAGGCCAUGGAAGAACUGGGACAUUUUCAGUUUCCAGGAAUUGUGUGCAGAUUCUUGCGAACUUGGGGCCGUGCAUUAUAAUGCCGAAACAUGAGAUGAUGGCGGGCGGAUGAAUGGCACGACAAUGGGCCUCAGGAUCUCAUCACUGUGUCUCCGUGCAUUCAAAUUGCCAUUGAAAAAAUGCAAUUGUGUUCGUUGUCUGUAGCUUAUGCCUGCCCCAUACCAUAACCCCACCGCCACCUUUAGGCACUCUGUUCACAACGACAUCAGCAUACCGCUCGCCUACACAACGCCAUACACGUGGUCUGCGGUUAUGAGGCCGGUUGGACAUACUGGCAAAUUCUCUAAAACGGCGGCUUAUGAUAGAAAAAUGAACAUUGAACAUCUGGCAAUAGCUCUGGAGGACAUUCCCUCAGUCAGCAUACUAAUUGCACACUGCCUCCAAACUUGAGACAUCUGUGACAUUGUGUUGUGUGACACAACUGCACAUUUUAGUGUGGACUUUUGUUGUUCCCAGCACAAGGUGCACCUGUCAAAUCCAAUUGUAUUUGUCCCAUGAAAUGCUUACCUACAAGCCCUUAACCAACAAUGCUAUUUUAAGAAAAUAGAGUUAAGAAAAUAUUUACUAUAUAAAGUAAAGUAAAAAAUAAAAGAAUAACACAAUAAUGAGUCUAUAUACAGGGGGUACCGAUACCAAGUCAAUGUGCGGGUGAACAGGUUAGUCGAGGUAAUUUGUACAUGUAGUUAGGGGUAAAGUGACUAUGCAUAGGUAAUAAACAGCAAUGUAAAAACAACACUUCCAAGUAUAUAAGUCCUGGAUGGCAGGAAGCUUGGCCCCAGUGAUGUACUGGGCUGUACACAUUACCCUCUGUAGCUCCUUACGGUCGGAGGCCGAGCAGUUGUCAUACCAGGCGGUGAUCCAACCUGUCAGGAUGCUCUCGAUGGUGCAGCUGUAAAAUUCUUUGAGGAUCUGGGGACCCAUGCCAAAUAUGUUUUGUCUCCUGAGGGGGAAAAGGCGUUGUCGUGCUCUCUUCACAACUUUCUUGGUGUGUUUGGACCAUGAUAGUUUGUUGGUGAUGUGGACAGGGGGUUUCACCUACAUCUACCACAUUUAGCUAAUGAGGAGGGUUACAGGGGGUUUCACCAGCCUCUACCACAUUUAGCUAAUGAGGAGGGUUACAGGGGGUUUCACCAGCCUCUACCACAUUUAGCUAAUGAGGAGGGUUAGAGGGGGUUUCACCUGCCUGUACCACAUUUAGCUAAUGAGGAGGGUUAGAGGGGGUUUCACCUGCCUGUACCACAUUUAGCUAAUGAGGAGGGUUACAGGGGGUUUCACCUACCUCUACCACAUUUAGCUAAUGAGGAGGGUUAGAGGGGGUUUCACCUGCCUGUACCACAUUUAGCUAAUGAGGAGGGUUACAGGGGGUUUCACCUACCUCUACCACAUUUAGCUAAUGAGGAGGGUUAGAGGGGGUUUCACCUGCCUGUACCACAUUUAGCUAGUGAGGAGGGUUACAGGGGGUUUCACCUGCCUGUACCACAUUUAGCUAGUGAGGAGGUUUACAGGGGGUUCACCUGCCUCUACCACAUUUAGCUAAUGAGGAGGGUUACAGGGGGUUUCACCAGCCUCUACCACAUUUAGCUAAUGAGGAGGGUUACAGGGGGGUUCACCUGCCUCUACCAUAUUUAGCUAGUGAGGGAAAACCCUGGUUGGCUAGUACAAUGUAAGGGUUUAAUCCCAAUACUUUCUCCUUCCUGCUGAAGUGUUCACUUGUUCACUAAAUG
rnacentral:lncRNA from 1 species